AGGGUGUAAACGCUGCAGACUUGGUGUUGGGAACCCUUCGGGGGUGCUCAGUGCCGGAGAGAAGUUGUUAAGUCUGCUACUUGGGGAGUACGUCCGCAAGGAUGAAACUUAAAGGAAUUGGCGGGGGAGCACAACAACGGGUGGAGCCUGCGGUUUAAUUGGACUCAACGCCGGACAACUCACCGGGAACGACAGCAAUAUGUAGGCCAGGCUGAAGACCUUGCCUGAAUCGCUGAGAGGAGGUGCAUGGCGUAGACGUCU
rnacentral:rRNA from 1 species